rnacentral:rRNA from 1 species
CACACCGUAAACGAUGAAUGCUAGGUGUAGGUGGUAUCGACCCCAUCUGUGCCGUCGCAAACGCAAUAAGCAUUCCGCCUGGGGAGUACGGUCGCAAGAUUAAAACUCAAAGGAAUUGACGGGGGCCCGCACAAGCAGCGGAGCAUGUGGUUUAAUUCGAAGCAACGCGAAGAACCUUACCAGGUCUUGACAUCCAAUUAAAGCUGAAGAGAUUCAGUGUGUGCUUGCACAAAUUGAGACAGGUGG